GGCCUUAGUAGCUCAGUGGUAGAGCGCUGCCUUGGUAAGGCAGAGGUCGGGGGUUCAAAUCCCCCCUAAGGCUU
rnacentral:tRNA from 1 species